CCUACGGGUGGCAGCAGUGAGGAAUAUUGGUCAAUGGACGGAAGCCUGAACCAGCCACGCCGCGUGCAGGAAGACGGCUCUCUGAGUUGUAAACUGCUUUUGCACAAGGGUAAACCUGAAUACGUGUAUUCAGCUGAAAGUACUGUACGAAUAAGGAACGGCCAACCCCGUGCCAGCAGCCGCGGCAAUACGGAGGAUCCAAGCGUUAUCCGGAUUUAAUGGGUUUAAAGGGUGCGUAGGCGGAUUGAUAAGUUAGAGGUGAAAUGUCCGAGCUUAACUCGGGAACUGCCUCUAAUACUGUUGAUCUAGAGAGUAGAUGCGGUAGGCGGAAUGUAUGGUGUAGCGGUGAAAUGCUUAGAGAUCAUACAGAACACCAAUUGCGAAGGCAGCUUACCAAUCUAUAUCUGACGUUGAGGAACGAAAGCGUGGGGAGCAAACAGGAUUAGAUACCCGUGUAGUC
rnacentral:rRNA from 1 species